GGCAAAUUUAGGUCAACAGAGAUGCCAACUCCUUUUGACUUUCGGUUAACUAGCAUUUCAGCCUGUGCUUCAUGGAUGAGUUGUCUCUCCCAAGCUCGGCCUUAAUAGUAAAUAGAUUUUCUAUAUAAAUAUUAGUCUACCUGAUGCAGGAUUUUCUAAGGGAUUUAGAACUACCUAUUUAGGAAGAAACAUAGAAACGCAUUUUAUUCAUUUAAGAAGUUUCUGUUGGUCUGGAUUCCUAAUUUUGUUGUUUAGGAUACUAAAUCCUAAUACUAGUAGGAUUGCAAAUACUACUAUAAAUACCUAUG
rnacentral:misc_RNA from 1 species